GACGAACGCUGGCGGCGUGCUUAACGCAUGCAAGUCGAACGGAAAGGCCCUGCUUUUGUGGGGUGCUCGAGUGGCGAACGGGUGAGUAACACGUGAGUAACCUGCCCUUGACUUUGGGAUAACUUCAGGAAACUGGGGCUAAUACCGGAUAGGAGCUCCUGCUGCAUGGUGGGGGUUGGAAAGUUUCGGCGGUUGGGGAUGGACUCGCGGCUUAUCAGCUUGUUGGUGGGGUAGUGGCUUACCAAGGCUUUGACGGGUAGCCGGCCUGAGAGGGUGACCGGCCACAUUGGGACUGAGAUACGGCCCGGACUCCUACGGGAGGCAGCAGUGGGGAAGAUUGCACAAUGGGCGGAAGCCUGAUGCAGCAACGCCGCGUGCGGGAUGACGGCCUUCGGGUUGUAAACCGCUUUCGCCUGUGACGAAGCGUGAGUGACGGUAAUGGGUAAAGAAGCACCGGCUAACUACGUG
rnacentral:rRNA from 1 species